rnacentral:lncRNA from 1 species
GUGUUAAAGAGAAUAUUUCUGGUCAUACUCUUUCUGAACUGAGCAACACCCAAACAUUCCUCAGAUACAAGGACCAGAGCAGUGGUACUGAGAAAACUCCAGUGACUGAGUCUGAGAGCCAAUCCCUGAUUGCUAGUCCCAGUGUAUCAGAAACUGUGCCAAUUGCUUCAGGAGAAUCCGAUAUAGAAAACCUGGAUAACAAGGAGACUCGGAGCAAGUCUGCAAAUGGAAGCAGUAAAGAGAAAAUGAAGCAAUCUAGUUCAUCUGAGUGCAGCACGGUUGAUAUUGCUAUUUCUGAAGAAGAAGAAAUGGUCUAUGAACAUGAAAAGUCGAAGCUUCAUAAAAAUGGUUAUGAACGCAAAUCUUCAGCUGGCCAA